GAGUGCUUGCACUCAAUUGGAAAGAGGAGUGGCGGACGGGUGAGUAACACGUGGGUAACCUACCCAUCAGAGGGGGAUAACACUUGGAAACAGGUGCUAAUACCGCAUAACAGUUUAUGCCGCAUGGCAUAAGAGUGAAAGGCGCUUUCGGGUGUCGCUGAUGGAUGGACCCGCGGUGCAUUAGCUAGUUGGUGAGGUAACGGCUCACCAAGGCCACGAUGCAUAGCCGACCUGAGAGGGUGAUCGGCCACACUGGGACUGAGACACGGCCCAGACUCCUACGGGAGGCAGCAGUAGGGAAUCUUCGGCAAUGGACGAAAGUCUGACCGAGCAACGCCGCGUGAGUGAAGAAGGUUUUCGGAUCGUAAAACUCUGUUGUUAGAGAAGAACAAGGACGUUAGUAACUGAACGUCCCCUGACGGUAUCUAACCAGAAAGCCACGGCUAACUACGUGCCAGCAGCCGCGGUAAUACGUAGGUGGCAAGCGUUGUCCGGAUUUAUUGGGCGUAAAGCGAGCGCAGGCGGUUUCUUAAGUCUGAUGUGAAAGCCCCCGGCUCAACCGGGGAGGGUCAUUGGAAACUGGGAGACUUGAGUGCAGAAGAGGAGAGUGGGAAUUCCAUGGGUUAACCGG
rnacentral:rRNA from 1 species